CUGUGUCAAUGAUGUCACAUUUACCUACAUUGUCCGAGGCUUUCCUGAGAGAAACCAAAGCACUGAGACACUG